GACGGAGGAUGCAAGCGUUAUCCGGAAUUAUUGGGCGUAAAGAGCUCGUAGGCGGUUUGUCGCGUCUGCCGUGAAAGUCCGGGGCUCAACUCCGGAUCUGCGGUGGGUACGGGCAGACUAGAGUGAUGUAGGGGAGACUGGAAUUCCUGGUGUAGCGGUGAAAUGCGCAGAUAUCAGGAGGAACACCGAUGGCGAAGGCAGGUCUCUGGGCAUUAACUGACGCUGAGGAGCGAAAGCAUGGGGAGCGAACAGG
rnacentral:rRNA from 1 species